rnacentral:piRNA from 1 species
ACGGUACAGUCCAGCAUGAGCUG